rnacentral:rRNA from 1 species
CACGUAUGGGGCGAGCGUUGUUCGGAAUUAUUGGGCGUAAAGGGCGCGCAGGCGGUGCUCUAAGUCUGGUGUGAAAGACUUCGGCUUAACCGAGGGAACGCACUGGAAACUAGAGUACUAGAGUAGAGGAAGGGGAGUUGGAAUUCCAGGUGUAGGGGUGAAAUCUGUAGAUAUCUGGAAGAACAUCAGUGGCGAAGGCGAACUCCUGGCCAUUUACUGACGCUGAGGCGCGAAAGCGUGGGGAGCAAACAGG